AGAUGUUUCCCGCGGCGCUUAUUCAUGACGUCAGUUCCGGCGUCCGACCCCUCGACUUCCUGCAUUUGCUGCCAAGAUGGCUGACUCAAUGGCUAUUCAUCUGGAGUUCGGCGUGCAUGUCGACUGUGGCGUGCAGUCAAAUCCUGGCCCAAGUCGGAGGGCUGGACCUGCACAACAAAAACCUAACAGAUGCAGGAUUAAUACUAAUAACACUCUCUCUGCUGCAUGAAGGAAAACAGGAGACCCUGCCAGGUCAACAUUUAAUCCACUUUUUUUUAAAUGUAUUUAUAGAACUGCAUGAAACAGGUUGAAGUAUUUUCUUGAUUUCCUGUUGCUGCUAAGUGGAUGUAUGGGCAGGGCCAGGACAUUAUUGGAUGAAUAAUUGAAGGUAGUAGUGUCAUCAUGCAUGCAAAUGUAGUCGUAGUCCUGCUUUUAAAGACAUUUUGCCAUUGCUGCACAACGGAGGUGAAUGGAAAUAAAACUCUGUAUGGGGCAAUCUUUUCAUAUUUGAAUUUUUACCCAAAUAAAAUGGUUGUAGUACUUUCAAAACUUG